rnacentral:rRNA from 1 species
GAUGAACGCUGGCGGCGUGCUUAACACAUGCAAGUCGAACGGUGAAAGAGGGAGCUUGCUCCUUCUGGAUCAGUGGCGAACGGGUGAGUAACACGUGAGCAAUCUGCCCUGGACUCUGGGAUAAGCGUUGGAAACGACGUCUAAUACCGGAUACGAGGCGUGGGGGCAUCCCCAACGCCUGGAAAGAACUUCGGUCCAGGAUGAGCUCGCGGCCUAUCAGGUAGUUGGUGAGGUAACGGGUCACCAAGCCGACGACGGGUAGCCGGCCUGAGGGGGUGACCGGCCACACUGGGACUGAGACACGGCCCAGACUCCUACGGGAGGCAGCAGUGGGGAAUAUUGCACAAUGGGCGAAAGCCUGAUGCAGCAACGCCGCGUGAGGGACGACGGCCUUCGGGUUGUAAACCUCUUUUAGCAGGGAAGAAGCGAAAGUGACGGUACCUGCAGAAAAAGCACCGGCUAACUACGUGCCAGCAGCCGCCGUAACAC